AAUGUCUGAGAUGCAUUAAUCCAUUUUGCAUUACUUUCUAUGGGGAAACUGCACCUCGGUUUUCAAACAUUUCAGAACUCGAACAGUCCUCCGGAGCGGAUCACGUUCGAAAACCGAGGUGCCACAGUAAUUAUAUAAACUUCUAUAUUUUGGGACUGCUCGAGUUCAUCUGCCCUCCUUGGUGUCAGACAUAGACCAUGUAAGGAAGCUUGGCCUGAUGUUUUUCCUAACCUAUCAAGAUAUUACAGUAAUUCAGUCUUACUGUUACAUCUUGAUAAGAAGGCUCAGAUCCUAGAGAAGGCCGGGACAUCUGUUGCCUCAUCUUUAACAACCAAGACAGGGAAAUGAAGAAAGCAAGGAACAGCAAGACCAGAGACAAGCCAGACUUUUGGCUGCAGUUAUAGACAGGUCAAUGCCAGAGCCGCCUCAGAACCACCCUGGCAACCCCAGGAAAGGAACCCCAGUUAACGGAGCCUGCUUGGAUGUGGAAGCCCACACCGUUGGAGUAAGGAGCGUCCUAAUCCUCCAAAGCAGCUGUGCCCUCUGGGCAAACUAAAAGGGCACUAGACUUUUUAAAAGGACUCUGCAGAAGCUUUGUCAGAAGCCCAAGCCCUGGCUCUAGUUGCUGCCCAUUGCUUUAUGCUUGUAAAUUCUGAUCUCAAUUCUGUUAUUUCCUCUGUUAUUAACUUGGGAGAGGUUCAGCAGGCACUCAGGAAAUAUGGGGCCUGGCAACUCCCCCAGGCUGACCCCUGUACACAUUGCAGCCCCGUGGAGUCAGGGGACUAAGUAUUAGAAGCCUGGAGGGAGGCGUCUCUGACAGAGAGUUAGCUCCUAAAUGGAAGGGACCCUAUGCAGUUCUUUCAAAUACCCCCAACUAUUGUCAGGCUUCAGAAAUUCAGUGGCUGGGUCCACUUCCCUUGAAUGAAACCUGUUUCAUUUAAGUCUCCACAGGACUCCCCCAGAAGGAAGACUGUCACUCCCAUUCCUAUGAGCCAAUUGAAGACUUGAAGCUCCUCUUCAAACAGACUGAUAACUGCUAGAGCUGCUCAUUAUUGCCUUUCGCUUGGGCCUUACUUUGGAUCUAGUUUUCCUCUUUGCUUGUGCCCCACGUGGGAUCAAACAUAAGAGCUGGGGCAAUGGCCUCUCUGACUUCUGGCACAACUCCUGUGUGGCGCAGGCAGCAUGAGCACCGGACUCCGUUGCCCUCGAUUCACCAGGUCACCCUGUGCCUCUCCUUCAGCUGACCCCAAGGCCCGACAGAGCAUCAUGUGGGAAAUUCUGAAACCUCCAUUUCUGCAGCCCUGGAAGGCUCUGCAGCCCAGGGUGUGGAAGAUGUGAUGCUAAAAAAUGAUUCCACCAGCCCUGUGGCCUGCAACGCCUCAGCAGUGAGCUCGUAACUACCACAUUGUGCUGACGCUGUGUCCUAAAUGUCUGUCUGUCUCAGUGAUGCCAUCAUGUUCCAUUCAUGGGAUCGUGUACAAAGCAGGGUUCGAAGCACUUUUCCUGUACUAAGCUGUUUAAUCCUCAUGACACGCCUGUAUCCAGGUGAGGAAACUGGAGGCCCAGGGUCCACAGCUGGUUCAUGCCAGAGCCGGGACAUGAAGCCACGCAGUGUGGGCACUUCUCCACUGCACCCAAAUGACACUGCACCUCAGUGACAACCAUGCCAUUCUGUAAAGGGGCAAGUAAGUACAGGUCUGCAAUCUCUUACCUGCAAUUUUGAAAACCAAAACACCUCCACAAGCUAGAAGUUUCUUUCUACUUUGGCGUUUGUACUCUAUUUCCUCUAGUGUGCCUUUUCACAAUUGUCCACAUAAAUGCCGAUGUAUUUGUUUAUAAGGUAUCACCCCAGACCCCUGGGAGUGUUAUGCAAUAUUCAUUCAGCAUCGCCACCUGGGUCCCUUUCUAAAGUCCAAAGAAUUCUAAAUUCUGAAACAUCUGGCCCAAGGGUUUUGCGUAAGGGAUCGUGGACCCGUGUUAAUAAAGUUUUAUGGUAAGAAA